rnacentral:rRNA from 1 species
UACGGGGGGGGCAAGCGUUGUUCGGAAUUACUGGGCGUAAAGGGCUCGUAGGCGGCCAACUAAGUCGGAUGUGAAAUCCCCAGGCUCAACUUGGGAACUGCGUCUGAUACUGGAUGGCUUGAAUCCGGGAGAGGGAUGCAGAAUUCCAGGUGUAGCGGUGAAAUGCGUAGAUAUCUGGAGGAAUACCGGUGGCGAAGGCGGCAUCCUGGACCGGGAUUGACACUGAGGAGCGAAAGCUAGGGGAGCAAACGGG